rnacentral:sRNA from 1 species
UCUUGGUCAUUUAGAGGAAGUAAAAGUCGUAACAAGGUUUCCGUAGGUGAACCUGCGGAAGGAUCAUUAGUGAAUUGAAUAUGUUAGCGGACCUCUUCGGAGUCCCUAGCAUCAAAUCAUAUCCAUAACACCUGUGAACUGUAAGGCUGUCUUGAAAACGAAAGUGAUUAGAGCGCCUGCCCAUUUUAUACAAACAAUAAAGUAACAAACGUAGUCUUAUUAUAAUCUAAUAAAACUUUCAACAACGGAUCUCUUGGCUCUCGCAUCGAUGAAGAACGCAGCGAAAUGCGAUAAGUAAUGUGAAUUGCAGAAUUCAGUGAAUCAUCGAAUCUUUGAACGCACCUUGCGCUCUUUGGUAUUCCGAAGAGCAUGCCUGUUUGAGUGUCAUGAAAAUAUCAACCUUGACUUGGGUUUAGUGCUCUUGUCUUGGCUUGGAUUUGGCUGUUUGCCGCUCGAAAGAGUCGGCUCAGCUUAAAAGUAUUAGCUGGAUCUGUCUUUGAGACUUGGUUUGACUUGGCGUAAUAAGUUAUUUCGCUGAGGACAAUCUUCGGAUUGGCCGAGUUUCUGGACGUUUGUCCGCUUUCUAAUACAAGUUCUAGCUUGCUAGACAUGACUUUUUAUUAUCUGGCCUCAAAUCAGGUAGGACUACCCGCUGAACUUAAGCAUAUCAAUAAGCGGAGGAAAAGAAACUAACAAGGAUUCCCCUAGUAACGGCGAGUGAAGCGGGAAGAGCUCAAAUUUGAAAUCUGGUGGCCUCAGGCUAUCCGAGUUGUAAUCUAUAGAAACAUUUUCCGCGUUGGCCCAUGUACAAGUCUCUUGGAAUAGAGCGUCAUAGAGGGUGAGAAUCCCGUCCUUGACAUGGACUACCAGUGCUUUGUGAUAUGUUUUCAACGAGUCGAGUUGUUUGGGAAUGCAGCUCAAAAUGGGUGGUAAAUUCCAUCUAAAGCUAAAUAUUGGCGAGAGACCGAUAGCGAACAAGUACCGUGAGGGAAAGAUGAAAAGCACUUUGGAAAGAGAGUUAAACAGUAUGUGAAAUUGUUGAAAGGGAAACGAUUGAAGUCAGUCGUGUCUAUUGGACUCAGCCGGUUCUGCCGGUGUACUUCCUUUAGAUGGGGUCAACAUCAGUUUUGAUCGCUGGAAAAGGGCAGGAGGAAUGUAGCACUCUCGGGUGAACUUAUAGCCUUCUGUCGCAUACAGUGGUUGGGACUGAGGAACGCAGCUUGCCUUUAUGGCCGGGAUUUAUCCACGUACAAGCUUAGGAUGUUG